ensembl:lncRNA
AUAAAAGUUGCUUAAUUUCAACACAUAAAAUUAAAGUCGAAUGAAAACAAAAAAUUAACUUGCAUAAAUGUAAAACAGCGAUUAAUACAUUUUAUUACAUUUUAGCUCUUUAAUGGAAAUAAUGUGACCCCAGAAAAGCUGCAGCACAAAGAGUCACAAUUUCAUGGCUAUUUCUUAAAAUUUAUUGGAAAAUUAUGAAAACUCGUGUUUCCAGUAAGGAAACUAAAAUUAAAGAGGGAAUUUAAACCACAUACACUCAGAAGCUUUUCAAAAUAAAAUAUUUAGAUGCAGCAAGAUUGUAACGCCAGCUUCACAUAUGCAAUUUAAAUUAUUUUGGCACCUUUUUUCUUCCAUACCCUGUGAUAACGCGGUAUUGGGCUGAUAGCUAAUAUUCUUACUGAGCAGACGUGUCACAGGUAAUGAUUAAAGUCCGUGUUGGAGCCUGUGGGGUCCCAGUCGGAAAUGAAGGACUGUCUGGAUGUAAAAACAGCUCACCUGUAUUCACCUGGACUCCAGGAUGAAACAUAAAAUGGACCUGGAAACAAAAAAGGAGUUUUUAAAUGACCUGAUGGAAUAAAAUCAAAACAAAAAGGAAAAAAACAAAAACUAUCCCAGGAGAUGUUUUCACUGUGAACGUCUAAUGGAUUAUUAUCUGAGUGAAGGAUGUUUAGAUGGAUUCAUUGACAGAUGGACGAUGAGACUCCAAACAGAGAAUAACUGACGAAGAAAACGAAGGGAUCCAGGAUUGAACCCUGUGGGACGCCACAUGCUUGGGGAAGAACAAUGAGCCUCGUCCAGCCAACAGAGUCCGACAACUGCUGCCAUCACCGCUCUUCUCCUUCCUCUGAUGAACGUGAAAUAAAACAAAUUGUGGAUGAGACGCCCUCCCAUCACAGGAGGACGACCUGAUUUUUUUUUUUUUGCACAGAGCAAAGCAAAUGACUCUGAGGUACAAGGCAAAUGUUACUUGAAUCCUGCUUCAUAUAUUUGCAUCGUGUCUGCUGGCUGAUGGAGGCCUCCAUAUAAUCACGAGUAGAUGCUCUGUGGGGGAACGCUCCUCCUGCUGUAGAGAAAAAGACCAUGUACGUCCUGUCUGUGCGUUGCAUAUCAUAUUCAAACCAAAACAUAUUAUUGCAUGCUUGGAAAGUAGAGCAUGUGAAGAGAAGAGAACACGUCCGACUGAACCCAGCACUCUGACAAACGGGAACAACAACAUCAGCCGCUCAUUGAUAUUCUGAAAUGAUUCUGUUCCAAUGAUGAACUUAGUUGCUAAAUCUCUAUUUUUUAAAGUAUCAUACUGUAUAUGUUUUAUAUGGAGAGGAUUUGGUUCACUUGGUGAAUUAUUUUGUAGAUUUUUAACAUUUUUGCUAAUGUGUUUGGAUUUUCUUUUGUUCGUUUUUUGCCUUGGUACAAACAAAGCAGCUCUAGCUCCGGCGGGCAACUCCGGUGAAGACGUCUGCCCCCUUUGAGAGGAAUGUUUGUGCAGGAAACGAGGGUUCCAAAAAGAGACCGCUUAAUGCAUUUAUCACUGAAUGUUUCUGUGUGUGGGUUCCUGAUCAGAAUGCUGUAUAUCUGUUAUACCGAGAACAUCUACCUCAGUGUCUGCUCAUUACCAACAGAAGCUUUAACACCCGUGUCCCUGCAUUAGCUCUCAUUAGGCAUCUAAUUACUUGGUGCAACUAAACCCAAACACUCUCCAAACUGCCAUUUAAAAUCUUGGAGGGAAAAAAAGCAACACAUUAAAUAUUGUGAAAUAUUGAAUAUCUGUAUGAAGCCGAUCCUGACCUUGGAUUUAAAUAUCAGAAUUAUGCAGUCUGCGUAAAACAGCUUAGAGCCUUGUUUUUGCACAUUUUGUUAAUUUAUUUGUGAAGUUGGAUGUGCUCGUGAGCGUAUGUGACUGUUUCUGGAUUCAUUGUGUAUUUAAAGGGCAAUAAAUGAACUGCAGGGUGGAACCAGUCUGGAACCAGAAAGGAGUCCAGUCCAGCAGGUUUUAUGGGUACAGACCUGAGGCUGCAGGGUUUAAACUGGACUCUAGUUUUCCUCAGAAUCAGAUGCGAACAUCAGCGUCUCAGUUUCGGGUAAAAACAGCAGAGAAAUGAAUCUCAGUUUCCAUCUGAAGCUGUUUUUAGUGGCUGUUGAGCUCAUGUGCUUCAGGGCUGCUGAUGUCUUCUUUGCUUAAUCAAAGGAAUUCCAAAGAAGCCGCUCAGCUGAAGGAACGGGCCAUGUUCAGAUGUCGUCUCUGAGCCACUGAGUGAGCCAGACUGUGACUUUCUUAACUGCCUAUAUGCGAAUUUAUGCAUAUUGUUCCACGACGAUGAUCUAUUCUGCUCAUUUCCAGCUCUUUGUUUUUAUCAUAUGACUCCCCUGCAGCAGCUUUACAUGAUCCACAGUUCAGAAUAAUCCUUCUGUGUCUCACACUGGGCCCCACGGUUCAUCCUAUCUGGAACAAGCUGAUUUAGCCCAUCUCUUUAAGGCUUCCUCCCUAAUUGCUCACUUCUGAUUGGCCAAACUGAGGGGCAGCACAUGUGCUCUUUGAAGUUUUUUGGUGUUUUUUUUGCACAAAUCAUUAAAUUUAUUCAUGUUUAUGGUGGUCCAGAUGUCCAUGUUCUGUCUUGUAUCUGUGAAUAGGUUCUCUUUAAAUCAUUUUGAUUGGACGGUUUGCACCGCCAUCUCUUUCCGGUGUUACAGCUGCUUCAUCAUAUGAAGCAAAAGUCCUCCACUCAGUGCUCAUCACUGGAGAAGGAGCAGCUGUAAAAACUGAAGUUUUUGAAGUGUGUGUCUACUCUGUGGGGUUGUCAGGUACCAGCUCUGACUCCACAGGUGUGUCACAGCUGAUCAUUCAAAGCUCAGCUUUCUGACUUUGGCUCAUUUCUCUCUGUUUUUCUGGCUCUGCGGAAGAUGUGAGGUCACAGUGUUUCCUGACAUGCUGGACUUUUGCUGGUCAUGCGGCUGCGUCCACUCUGCAGUUUUGUCUCAUUGUAAUUCUGCUUUGCUUAACAUAAAAACAGCCGAGGGAGGUUUGUGUGUGACGGAGGCACUGAUGAGCAGUGACUGGGCAUUAGUUCUGAUGAUUAAUGUGUUCUGCAUACUCUAUGUGCAAUAAUAACAGGGCGAAUGCAGCCAUGACUGAAGAGCAGUCAGUCUGGUCCAGGCGCCACAUGUUUAACCAUCAUUGAGAUUCACCACAUCAUCCGUUGUGUUCAUGCUUCAUCUUCAGGUUUCAGUUCAGGCUCGUCACCGAAGCUUUUGUCAUGCAACAAGGAAAAAAAGCAAUAGUGAUUUCUGUGUUCUGGGAACUUCAGCGUGGAAGUGUUCUGAUUUCUGUUUCUCUGCUUUUGUUUCUUUCCACGCAUCGAUGCCAUUACUUUUUUUUGACAAACUUUAAUUGUGAUCUAUUUUUGAUAAAAAUAAAUCUUUAAUUCUGAUUGAUCUCCAUGCGUUUCCCAUGAAUGCACAUGCAGAUGUGUCACUUUCUGCUGAGUGUGAGUGUGUUUGUGUGCCAUCAACAUCAGCAGAGGCGCUGGGGUUGGAUUUAAGGUUUUUUUAGGUCAUUGUUUGAUUUGCCUUCCUCAUGCUGUGGCUCCUCAUGGUCUCCUGAAGCAGCUGAUGAUGGAAGCAUCAGUGAAAGGAAAUAAAAAUUCUAGAAGGAAACAUAUUUGUAAAAACUGAAAACCUGAUAGAGUCUCUUCUCAUUCUUAUCUUCUACAGAAGUUCAGAGAAAAC